rnacentral:rRNA from 1 species
GUAGGGGGCUAGCGUUGUCCGGAUUCAUUGGGCGUAAAGAGCGUGUAGGCGGUUCGAUAGGGUCCGGUGUGAAAACUCGAGGGCUCAACCUCGAGAGGUCGCCGGAAACCAUUGAGCUAGAGUCCGGAAGAGGAGAGUGGAAUUCCUGGUGUAGCGGUGAAAUGCGCAGAUAUCAGGAAGAACACCCAUGGCGAAGGCAGCUCUCUGGGACGGUACUGACGCUGAGACGCGAAAGCGUGGGGAGCGAACAGGAUUAGAUACCCUGGUAGUCCACGCCGUAAACGAUGGGCACUAGGUGUGGGUGGUGUCGACUCCAUCCGUGCCGAAGCUAACGCAUUAAGUGCCCCGCCUGGGGAGUACGGCCGCAAGGCUA